rnacentral:rRNA from 1 species
CGCGUAGGCGGUUUCGGAAGUCAAGGGUGAAAGCCCCCGAGCUCAACUCGGGAAUUGCCUUUGAAACCACGGAACUAGAGUGUUGGAGAGGAAAGCGGAAUUUCCAGUGUAGCGGUGAAAUGCGUAGAUAUUGGAAGGAACAUCUGAGGCGAAGGCGGCUUUCUGGACAGACACUGACGCUGAGGCGCGAAAGCCAGGGGAGCGAACG